rnacentral:tRNA from 1 species
GGGGUUGUGGCUCAAUGGUAGAGCGCUCUCCUAGCACCAGCGAGGUUCUGGGUUCCAUCCUCAGCAACCACA